rnacentral:rRNA from 1 species
AUUGAACGCUGGCGGCAGGCCUAACACAUGCAAGUCGAGCGGAUGAGGGGAGCUUGCUCCUGGAUUCAGCGGCGGACGGGUGAGUAAUGCCUAGGAAUCUGCCUGGUAGUGGGGGAUAACGUCCGGAAACGGGCGCUAAUACCGCACACGUCCUGAGGGAGAAAGUGGGGGAUCUUCGGACCUCACGCUAUCAGAUGAGCCUAGGUCGGAUUAGCUAGUUGGUGGGGUAAAGGCCUACCAAGGCGACGAUCCGUAACUGGUCUGAGAGGAUGAUCAGUCACACUGGAACUGAGACACGGUCCAGACUCCUACGGGAGGCAGCAGUGGGGAAUAUUGGACAAUGGGCGAAAGCCUGAUCCAGCCAUGCCGCGUGUGUGAAGAAGGUCUUCGGAUUGUAAAGCACUUUAAGUUGGGAGGAAGGGCAGUAAGUUAAUACCUUGCUGUUUUGACGUUACCAACAGAAUAAGCACCGGCUAACUUCGUG